rnacentral:rRNA from 1 species
GUGAACGCUGGCGGUAGGCCUAACACCUGCAAGUCGAACGGCAGCACCGUAAGAGCUUGCUCUUACGGGUGGCGAGUGGCGGACGGGUGAGGAAUACAUCGGAAUCUACUUUUUCGUGGGGGAUAACGUAGGGAAACUUACGCUAAUACCGCAUACGACCUACGGGUGAAAGCAGGGGAUCUUCGGACCUUGCGCGAUUGAAUGAGCCGAUGUCGGAUUAGCUAGUUGGCGGGGUAAAGGCCCACCAAGGCGACGAUCCGUAGCUGGUCUGAGAGGAUGAUCAGCCACACUGGAACUGAGACACGGUCCAGACUCCUACGGGAGGCAGCAGUGAGGAAUAUUGGACAAAGGGCGCAAGCCUGAUCCAGCCAUACCGCGUGGGUGAAGAAGGCCUUCGGGUUGUAAAGCCCCUUUGUUGGGAAAGAAAAGCAGCAGGUUAAUACCCCGCUGUUCUGACGGUACCCAAAGAAUAAGCACCGGCUAACUUCGUG